ensembl:lncRNA
AAAAGUUUGAGACAGAUUUGAAAUUAAAAUUCUGUAUCCUCUCCUCACCAUAGAUAACUAGCACACUCGCAGCUCUCUGAAAGAAUUAUGUGAAAAGCAAAAAGUUCUUCACAAGCUCUGCAUAAAAUUUGUGGUGUUGGACAAGGCAUGUAAAUCUGGACAGUUUCCCUGUUUCUGGGAUAACUAUCAUUUUCUUUCUUGCAGUCCCCAGUGCUGGUUUCCUCUCCAGAUGGGUGGGAGCUGUCCCUUUCCUUGGAUCAGUGACACGGUGCACAGCAGCAGUGGUGCAGCUUUUUCAUGUAGGAGGCUGAGGAGAAAUCCUGGGACGAGGUUGCCAUGGCAAGAAGCAGUCCCUGUCCUGUGUUUUACACUGCAUUGUGAAUGCCAUGCGCGAGCUCCACUUUUUAUCUUCAUUUGUAUAAUCAGUGUUUAAUUUACUGUGACUUAAUUCACAACAAUGUAUUUAGACUUUGCACACUUCAUUUAAAGGCUGCACCUUUAUUAUCUCCAACCCCAUGCAAAGAUUUCUGCAGGGAAAGAAAAAAUGUAAAGGCAUCUUUCUCAGUAGUGACAGGGGCGUAGAAGGAGGGUCUAUGCUUUGUUUGUAGCCAUUAGGUGUCUUAAAUUGCAGAACAUUUUGUAAACAUCUGUUUACAGCAAAAUUUACCUGUGUGAUCAGGAGUCAAAGGCAACUUGAGAGAGUAAGUCCUGUCAGACUGCUGUGCCAUACCAACAGAUGUGAGACCCUUCCAUGGGAUGAUGGAAGCCAUGGUUGUAACUCAAGAUCACACAGUAGCCAGAAGGAAAGAGGAGAAAGACACUGCAUCAUCAGGAAAAUGUCCUGUCUUUAAGCUGCUGCAACAGCCCUACAGGGAUCUGUUUGCUACUUUUGUACAUGAAGACAGGUUUAGCAUGGAUGUGUAUCAGGAAAGAGGAUAUCAGUAUGCAGCUCCAGAUAAAGGUGUAAGGAACCUUAAAUUCACUCUUGUGUUUCUCUACCAAGACUUUUAACUAAACAUGUGAGUGUUUACUGCUUUACUAACCCACCUAGCUUUCUCAGAUAUCUUUCAAACAUUUUCCAUUGUGGACUUAAUGUUUCAGGAGCUGCUUGAAGAUGCUAGAUAUUCUAGUUCUGAUCCAGGAAAGCCCAGGAGGAGGAUGCAUCUUUCAGCUUGCCUCUAGGAUUGUUUGUAAACCAGAGCUGAGUGUGUACCAGGAAGCUUGGCUGAAGCAAAUGCUGUGGUUCUUGGCAGAAUGAGGCUGCCAGGGUUGUUCCAUUUGUCUGAGAGGGAAAGGGCUACUAGAGGUUGUGAGUCCUUCUUCACCUAUUAUUUGUCCCAAAAUCUGAUUAAGGACACAUUUCUCAUCUUUUAUCUACCCUUUGGAUUUACACAUUUCCUCUAAGUCUAUCCUUUUCCAGCACCACAUAUUCACUAUUUGAAUUUAUUUAAUUUAUACUUAUUGACACAUUUUAUUUUCAUAGUAGAGUGACUUAGCGGUAUAAAAGACAAGGGCAGGCACAUAGACUCUUUGGAAUUUCAAGAUGUGGUAGGCAGGACUGACACAGAUAGCAAAGAAAGAAUGGUUUUAAUUAAAAUAUAAACAUUUUAAUAAAAUGCACAGCUGCUGGAGACUGUGUAUUUAC